GCGCGCUCGUACAAGUUAUACGCAGAUACGUGGGAAUCAAUACGAUACAGUUUGGAGUCUACGAGAUCCUGUUCGGGAUAUCUGGAAUCACGUGCAUGGAUUUUCCCUGAAUCGAUGGUUGGAGGCGAUUCUACAGAACCUGUGAUCCAGUCCCAGAAUCAAGGUUGAACAGUCAACGUCACAUUGCAAGGCUACAUCCGGUUAAUUGUAAGCUCGCCAUUGCCCUUCCCGCCCCCAGACUCGCCUCUCUGCAGGCCAGGCCGAUCGGACCCGGCCCGCAAGCCCUGCCGAUGCACUGAAAAUAUUGUAACCGGUUCCCACUUUUCUCUCAUUCAAUAUCAGCCACGUUAUUUAUGACGUGUAUUAUCCGGCGAGAAAUACGACA